rnacentral:rRNA from 1 species
CCGCACAAGUAGCGGAGCAUGUGGUUUAAUUCGAAGCAACGCGAAGAACCUUACCUAAGCUUGACAUCCCAAUGACAUCUCCUUAAUCGGAGAGUUCCCUUCGGGGACAUUGGUGACAGGUGGUGCAUGGUUGUCGUCAGCUCGGGUCGUGAGAUGUUGGGUUAAGUCCCGCAACGAGCGCAACCCUUGUCUUUAGUUGCC